rfam:Triticum urartu cultivar G1812 contig993863, whole genome shotgun sequence.
GAAAUACUCCCUCCGUCCCUCCGUCCAAAAUUCUUGUCUUAGAUUUGUCUAAAUACAGAUGUAUCAAGUCACGUUUUGGUAUUAGAUACAUCCGUAUCUAGACUAAUCUAAGACAAGAAUUUUGGGACGGAAGGAGUAUAAG